AGGGACUGCGUAUAUAAAGUCCUUGACAGGCUCUUCAGUAAUCGUCUCAUGUCCCAUUUCAACAUGAAGGGAAAGGGGGACAAGGUGGCCCUUGAGACCUCCAACAUUUACAGAGCAAUGAAAGCUGCAGUAAUGAAAUGGAGCAAGGAUGCUACAGAAGAAAAUAUAAAAAAUCAUGCAUCCGAGCACCUGAAGCAUGCACCAGCAAGAAAGGGAGGAGCCGGACACAGAAAAUAAUUUUUCUGUGCAAU